rnacentral:rRNA from 1 species
CAGCAGUGGGGAAUUUUGGACAAUGGGCGAAAGCCUGAUCCAGCCAUGCCGCGUGAGUGAAGAAGGCCUUCGGGUUGUAAAGCUCUUUUAGUUGGAAAGAAAGAAUUAUAGUUAAUAGCUAUAAUUUAUGACGGUACCAACAGAAAAAGCACCGGCUAACUACGUGCCAGCAGCCGCGGUAAUACGUAGGGUGCGAGCGUUAAUCGGAAUUACUGGGCGUAAAGGGUGCGCAGGCGGCCAUGCAAGUCAGAUGUGAAAGCCCCGGGCUUAACCUGGGAAUUGCGUUUGAAACUGCAAGGCUAGAGUGCAACAGAGGGGAGUGGAAUUCCAUGUGUAGCAGUGAAAUGCGUAGAGAUGUGGAAGAACACCGAUGGCGAAGGCAGCUCCCUGGGUUGACACUGACGCUCAUGCACGAAAGCGUGGGGAGCAAACAGGAUUAGAUACCCUGGUAGUCCACGCCCUAAACUAUGUCAACUGGUUGUCGGAUCUAAUUAAGGAUUUGGUAACGUAGCUAACGCGUGAAGUGACC